UAUAGAGGACAGAUGGGGUUGCUUGCAAAGUAGCUUGGUGCUCAAUGACUGUUCUUGCUAGUGACAAGGCUUCCCUUUGUUCAGACCUGGCUUGCUCGAGCGCUCCUGCCUGUUCUGCAAACCUUCUUUGCAUUUCUACCAUCUGUUUUCUCAGAUCUUCAAGCUCUGCCAUUCUUCAGCUUGUAGGCCUGGGACUCGUGACACACAAACACAAAAAAAAAAGUUAAACACACUAAUUCUAUCCUGUUCGUGACGCCAAAUGUAACGGGUGCGUUAGGGCCCGCUUAGUAGGGGAAAUUAAUGUUACCUCGGAAGACUUUAGGAGGAAAGGAUCUUGGUACCCCCACCUCAGUGCUUUGAGUCUCAAGGUAUAGGUUAUGUAUACGUGUUACCUUACUCUGUUGUAUAAUAUACUAAAGGGACCAGAGAGUGUGGCUUCAGUUAAGUCUACAAAUACUUGUAUUAAUUUGGUGGCCGCCUGAAGUGUAAAUAUGUGAGGCAAUUUAACAAUACCAAUUCACAUUCCCACCACCCCAGUACCUAACAGAGCAAGUGAGACGCCCCUACUCCAAGGUAAGUUCAACAAUGAUAGUACUCUUGAGAUUUACUUUAACAUUCAAUCAGAUUUAAUUAUCUCCUUUUAAAAUGUUUUUUCUUUUGCAGAGCAGGAAAAGAAGAUCAGAACAAUACAUGAAAAAUGUAAAAAAACAAAUAAAACAAUGUUGCUCAAAUAAAUUUGUCACUAUAAUCUUUACCCGUGGUGCACCACCAACUGUUUAACCAUAAAACUUGUGUUCACCUCUGGAAUAACAAUCAGUUCACAAAUGAUUCACUUCAAAUAAACUCUGAAAUAACUUGACUUAAUUCAAAUGAACUCUGAAAUGACUCUUGCGAUUCGACAGAUGAUUCAAUUUUCACAUCAAACCCAGUUCAGUUACCUAGUUCAAGUUCGCAGUUCAGUCUAUAUCAGUAAGAGUUCAUGUAUGUAUAUGUGCAAUGAACGUUGUACCAGUCUUUAGCGAUGAUGAAAUUGAAGAAAUUACUUGCAAUGACUUGAGAUGACCUGUAAUAGAGAAAUGAACAGC
ensembl:lncRNA